CCUACGGGGCGCAGCAGUGGGGAAUAUUGGACAAUGGGCGAAAGCCUGAUCCAGCCAUGCCGCGUGUGUGAAGAAGGCCUUCGGGUUGUAAAGCACUUUCAGUGGGGAAGAAAGCCUUGGGGCUAAUACCCUCGAGGAAGGACAUCACCCACAGAAGAAGCACCGGCUAACUCCGUGCCAGCAGCCGCGGUAAUACGGAGGGUGCGAGCGUUAAUCGGAAUUACUGGGCGUAAAGCGCGCGUAGGCGGUCUGAUAAGCCGGUUGUGAAAGCCCCGGGCUCAACCUGGGAACGGCAUCCGGAACUGUCAGGCUAGAGUGCAGGAGAGGAAGGUAGAAUUCCCGGUGUAGCGGUGAAAUGCGUAGAGAUCGGGAGGAAUACCAGUGGCGAAGGCGGCCUUCUGGACUGACACUGACGCUGAGGUGCGAAAGCGUGGGUAGCAAACAGGAUUAGAUACCCUGUAUC
rnacentral:rRNA from 1 species